GGGCUGCAUUUUGAACUGCUGAAGUCCCACUAAGCACUCUGGAGUCACAUGGUUUGUAUAAUAAUUUGAACAAUGUGUCUCAGAGUGUUGUGGGCCCUUAGCGCCCACAUCAUCUUCCCCG
rnacentral:precursor_RNA from 12 species